CAUCAGUCUCAUCAUCAUCGAUACUUGUUAAUUUUUUUUUUUCAAAUGAUGAUUUUGUUGAUGACCAUAUGGGGCACUAUGAAGACCAAUAAGUGACUCUUUAAAUGGUAUUGAAAUGAACAAAUGAAAGGAUAUAUCCAUCGUCAGUUACAGCAAUGUCAAAUUUGAUGAUCCAGGCUUACUUUGAGAUACAUGAACUACUUGUACUUGUACUUAUGGGACUCACCCGGAAAGGAGAGGUGUAUUAUCGCCUACGCAAUUAAGGUAACGAUCCCACCAUUAAUCUUCUUCCCAGGGAUUUCUACGAAUAGCCAGAGACAAAAACGUAAAACUAAGUUGAGCAAAAAGUAU